UCCGGUUGAUCCUGCCGGAGGUCACCGCUAUUGGAGUUCGAUUAAGCCAUGCGAGUCGAGAGUCUUAGGGACUCGGCAGACCGCUCAGUAACACGUAGAUAAUCUGCCCUUGGGAGGGGAAUAACCUCGGGAAACUGAGAAUAAUACCCCAUAGGUCUAAGAUGCUGGAAUGCUUUUAGACUAAAAACUCUGGUGCCCAAGGAUGAGUCUGCGGCCUAUCAGGUAGUAGUGAGUGUAAUGGACUCACUAGCCGACGACGGGUACGGGCCUUGAGAGAGGUUGCCCGGAGAUGGAAUCUGAGACACGAUUCCAGGCCCUACGGGGCGCAGCAGGCGCGAAAACUUCACAAUGCGGGAAACCGCGAUGAGGGAACUCCAAGUGCUAAUACAAUGUAUUAGCUGUUUAAUAGCCUAAAAAGCUAUUAGAGUAAGGGCUGGGUAAGUCUGGUGCCAGCCGCCGCGGUAAUACCAGCAGCCCAAGUGGUGAUCGUUAUUAUUGGGCCUAAAGCGUCCGUAGCCGGUCUAGUAAAUCCUUGGAUAAAUCGUACAGCUUAACUGUACGGCUCCCGAGGAGACUGCUAGACUUGGGACUGGUCGAGAGGUCGGAGGUACUCCAGGGGUAGGGGUAAAAUCCUGUAAUCCUUGGGGGACCACCAGUGGCGAAAGCGUCCGACUAGAACGGGUCCGACGGUAAGGGACGAAGCCCUGGGGCGCAAACCGGAUUAGAUACCCGGGUAGUCCAGGGUGUAAACGCUGCGGGCUUGGUGUUGGGGGUCCUACGAGGGCGUCCAGUGCCGAAGAGAAGUUGUUAAGCCCGCCGCCUGGGGAGUACGGUCGCAAGACUGGAACUUAAAGGAAUUGGCGGGGGAGCACAGCAACGGGUGGAGCGUGCGGUUUAAUUGGAUUCAACGCCGGAAAACUCACCGGGGGCGACUGUUAUAUGAAGGCCAAGUUGAUGACUUUGCCAGAUUUUCAGAGAGGUGGUGCAUGGCCGCCGUCAGUUCGUACCGCAAGGCGUUCUGUUAAGUCAGAUAACGAACGAGACCCCUACCCUUAAUUGCCAGCUUCUUCUCAGGAAGGAGGGAACAUUAAGGGGACCGCUGGCGCUAAGUCAGAGGAAGGAGGGGGCAACGGUAGGUCAGUAUGCCCCGAAUCUCCCGGGCUACACGCGCGCUACAAAGGCUAGGACAAUGAGUUCCGACCCCGAAAGGGGUAGGCAACCUUGAAACCUAGUCAUAGUUCGGAUUGAGGGCUGCAACUCGUCCUCAUGAAGCUGGAAUCCGUAGUAAUCGCGGAUCAACAUUCCGCGGUGAAUAUGCCCCUGCUCCUUGCACACACCGCCCGUCAAACCAUCUGAGUUGGGUUUAGAUGAGGACACCUUUAAUUGGGGUGCUCAAAUCUAGGUUCAGCAAGGAGGGUUAAGUCGUAACAAGGUA
rnacentral:rRNA from 1 species